UGGAGGGGGGGCCGUCACCAGCAAGGUCAGCGGUCCUGCCCCACGUGGAGGGGGCGUGCAAACCCAGCCCCCAGGGUGUGGAGGGGAGUCUGACAAUCCUGCCCUAACGCAACAGCUGCGCGAAGCCCGGAAGCUCUCCGUCACGGGGGCGGGGCCAGAAGAGCAGAGGAUACAGAGACAGGCGGCCGCCGCCCUGAGGGGGCGUCUGGGACCUCAGCAUCUCACAGAAAACCAAGACCAUUUGAACAUGAUACCUCCUAGAAGAAAAUGAAGAUGCAUUCUCUAAUAUUAAAAAGCA